rnacentral:rRNA from 1 species
GAUGAACGCUGGCGGCGUGCCUAAUACAUGCAAGUCGAGCGAACAGAUGAGGAGCUUGCUCCUCUGACGUUAGCGGCGGACGGGUGAGUAACACGUGGAUAACCUACCUAUAAGACUGGGAUAACUUCGGGAAACCGGAGCUAAUACCGGAUAAUAUAUUGAACCGCAUGGUUCAAUAGUGAAAGACGGUUUUGCUGUCACUUAUAGAUGGAUCCGCGCCGCAUUAGCUAGUUGGUAAGGUAACGGCUUACCAAGGCAACGAUGCGUAGCCGACCUGAGAGGGGGGUCGGCCACACUGGAACUGAGACACGGUCCAUACGCCUACGGGAGGCAGCAGUAGGGAAUCUUCCGCAAUGGGCGAAAGCCUGACGGAGCAACGCCGCGUGAGUGAUGAAGGUCUUCGGAUCGUAAAACUCUGUUAUUAGGGAAGAACAAAUGUGUAAGUAACUAUGCACGUCUUGACGGUACCUAAUCAGAAAGCCACGGCUAACUACGUG